rnacentral:rRNA from 1 species
ACAGUACUCCUACGGGGAGGCAGCAGUGGGGAAUAUUGCACAAUGGGCGCAAGCCUGAUGCAGCCAUGCCGCGUGUGUGAAGAAGGACCUUCGGGUUGUAAAGCACUUUCAGUCGUGAGGAAGGUAGUGUAGUUAAUAGCUGCAUUAUUUGACGUUAGCGACAGAAGAAGCACCGGCUAACUCCGUGCCAGCAGCCGCGGUAAUACGGAGGGUGCGAGCGUUAAUCGGAAUUACUGGGCGUAAAGCGCAUGCAGGUGGUUUGUUAAGUCAGAUGUGAAAGCCCGGGGCGUCAACCUCGGAAUAGCAUUUGAAACUGGCAGACUAGAGUACUGUAGAGGGGGGUAGGAAUUUCAGGUGUAGCGGUGAAAUGCGUAGAGAUCUGAAGGAAUACCGGUGGCGAAGGCGGCCCCCUGGACAGAUACUGACACUCAGAUGCGAAAGCGUGGGGAGCAAACAGGAUUAGAUACCCUGGUAG